rnacentral:rRNA from 1 species
GACGAACGCUGGCGGCGUGCUUAACACAUGCAAGUCGAACGGAAAGGCCUGCUUUUGUGGGGUUCUCGAGUGGCGAACGGGUGAGUAACACGUGAGUAACCUGCCCUUGACUUUGGGAUAACUUCAGGAAACUGGGGCUAAUACCGGAUAGGAGCUCCUGCUGCAUGGUGGGGGUUGGAAAGUUUCGGCGGUUGGGGAUGGACUCGCGGCUUAUCAGCUUGUUGGUGGGGUAGUGGCUUACCAAGGCUUUGACGGGUAGCCGGCCUGAGAGGGUGACCGGCCACAUUGGGACUGAGAUACGGCCCAGACUCCUACGGGAGGCAGCAGUGGGGAAUAUUGCACAAUGGGCGGAAGCCUGAUGCAGCAACGCCGCGUGCGGGAUGACGGCCUUCGGGCUGUAAACCGCUUUCGCCUGUGACGAAGCGUGAGUGACGGUAAUGGGUAAAGAAGCACCGGCUAACUACGUG